rnacentral:rRNA from 1 species
GUGGGGAAUAUUGCACAAUGGGGGAAACCCUGAUGCAGCGACGCCGCGUGGAGGAAGAAGGUCUUCGGAUUGUAAACUCCUGUUGUUGAGGAAGAUAAUGACGGUACUCAACAAGGAAGUGACGGCUAACUACGUGCCAGCAGCCGCGGUAAAACGUAGGUCACAAGCGUUGUCCGGAAUUACUGGGUGUAAAGGGAGCGCAGGCGGGAAGACAAGUUGGAAGUGAAAUCCAUGGGCUCAACCCAUGAACUGCUUUCAAAACUGUUUUUCUUGAGUAGUGCAGAGGUAGGCGGAAUUCCCGGUGUAGCGGUGGAAUGCGUAGAUAUCGGGAGGAACACCAGUGGCGAAGGCGGCCUACUGGGCACCAACUGACGCUGAGGCUCGAAAGUGUGGGUAGCAAACAGGAUUAGAAACCCUGGUAGUCC